rnacentral:rRNA from 1 species
UACGGAGAGUGCAAGCGUUGCUCGGAAUUACUGGGCGUAAAGGGCGCGUAGGCGGCACUGUUAGUCAGGCGUGAAAGUCCUGGGCUCAACCUGGGAACUGCGCUUGAUACGGCAGAGCUAGAGGAUGGAAGAGGGUCGCGGAAUUCCCAGUGUAGAGGUGAAAUUCGUAGAUAUUGGGAAGAACACCGGUGGCGAAGGCGGCGACCUGGUCCAUUACUGACGCUGAGGCGCGACAGCGUGGGGAGCAAACAGG